CCAUGUUGGUCAGGCUGGUCUCUUUUGAGACGGGAUCUCAUUCUGUCGCCCAGCCUGGAAUGCAGUGGUGCCAUCUCGGCUCACUGCGGCCUUGACCUCCCACCUCACCCUCCCAGGUAGGUGAGGGCCCAGAGGCCUGCAACACCAUGUCCUGACCUCACGUAAUCCACCCGCCUCGGCCUCCCAGAUUGCUGGGAUUUACAGGCAUGAGCCAUUACGCCCGGCUCCUCCUCGUUUCUUAAAAUCCCUGAGCUCUACAAAGUAGAACUGUAAUCCUCCGUUUAUUGCCUUAUUUCACACUGAAAUAACCCAACAUUUAUUUUUAAGCCUGUCACAUCUCAUAUUAAAUGUGUAAGUCUGAACUGGAGGAGGACUUUAAACAAAGGAACGUUCCGUAAGAAUACUAUAUGACACCAGUUUCUACUGCUAGGAAUGCGACCACAGGAGCUGAAGGCUGGCCCACCCACUCCAAACCAGAGAACAAGCACAGGCUGCCACAGGAGAUCCUGGGUAAGAAAUCAGCUGCAGCAUCUAGAGUAGCAUGAAGGAAGCACUGGCCAAAUUAAAAGAUGAAACUUCCAAAAGGUCAGAAAGCAUUCAGAAGUCUCGGACCACAGCACAGGGAUUAAAUGGAAACUCUGGCGUGAGUAAGUAACCCUUCAAGCUAAAGCUAACCCUAAUCACAAAAUAUCAAGCGAGG